UCCGGGCAUGGUGGCACAUGCCUGUAGUCCCAGCUACUCGGAAGGCUGAGGCAGGAGGAUAGCUUGAGCCCAGGAGGUCAAGGUUGCAGUGAGCUGAGAUUGUGCCACUGCACUCCAGCCUGGGCAACAGAGCGAGACCUUGCCUCAA
ensembl:misc_RNA Metazoa_SRP Metazoan signal recognition particle RNA